rnacentral:rRNA from 1 species
UACGUAGGUGGCAAGCGUUGUCCGGAAUUAUUGGGCGUAAAGCGCGCGCAGGCGGCCUCUUAAGUCUGAUGUGAAAGCCCCCGGCUCAACCGGGGAGGGCCAUUGGAAACUGGGAGGCUUGAGUAUAGGAGAGAAGAGUGGAAUUCCACGUGUAGCGGUGAAAUGCGUAGAGAUGUGGAGGAACACCAGUGGCGAAAGCGGCUUCCUGGUCCAGCAUCGACGUUCAGGCACGAAAGCGUGGGGAGCAAACAGG